rnacentral:lncRNA from 1 species
AGAACUCUCAGCUUCAUCUCCAGCACCAUGUCUGCCUGCAUGCUGCCAUGCUCCUCAACAUGACCAUGAUGGACUAAAUACCCGAACUUCCUAUGUGGGGAACUCGUUAAAAUGCAUGGCCAUCAGUACAGGUGCCCGUCAAUGGCUGAAUGGAGACACAGAAAGUGCCAUAUACACAGUGGAGUUUUAUUGACCACAUGGAAGAAUGAAAUUGCAUUACUGGUGGGGAAACAGAGAGAACUGGAAAUCACCAUGAAACAUCAGAUUACAUUCUGCACAUUGUGUACAAACAGCAAGGAAGCAUGCUGCAAAUCCAGAGAAGGGCACCCACCAAAUCCUGAAUGUGUCCCUGGAACUUGGGAG